rnacentral:rRNA from 1 species
AGUAAAGUGGCGACCGGGUGAGUAACACGUGACUAACCUACCUUCGAGUGGGGGAUAACAUCGGGAAACCGAUGCUAAUACCGCAUAACAUCGCAAGAUCAAAGCAGCAAUGCGCUUGAAGAGGGGGUCGCGGCUGAUUAGCUAGUUGGCGGGGUAACGGCCCACCAAGGCGAAGAUCGGUAGCCGGCCUGAGAGGGCGCACGGCCACACUGGAACUGAAACACGGUCCAG